rnacentral:lncRNA from 1 species
GCUGGAUUAUACCUUGCGCCCAUGUCUCGGUCUGAUAAUUUGAUAUACAUUCUGGAACUCCAUCUAUGCAUUCUCAAUAUGAGUCUAUGGAACUGUCCUUUCUGGUGCCUUAUCAAGUAUUCAUUUUGACUGGAAUGAAUGUAGCUUGGAUGUUGUCUGCACAAAGAACACCUGGCAGCUGAUGUUCCCUCUGAACCACCAUGUCAAAAAUGGCAAUGUUUCAAGACCUACGCCUGGCUCCACUGCUGAACAAAAACACUGAACUACACUGAUUUGCUUGUGUAGGUCAUCCAAAGCUAGUUGUUCCCCACCCUGCUGGGAAGCUGUCCUUUGAUUAGGGUUGAUCCAGAUAAUUGACCCCAUCCAUGCAGUUAUAGUAUUGGACACACUGUGGGGCAUUUGUUGUACCUUAAGGCAGUGGUCCCCAACCUUGGGCCUCCAGAUGUUCUUGGACUGCAGUGACGUAUUCAUCAAUGGUAUCAAACGGGGAAAAAUGUAGAGAUCAAUUUUUAAAAAAUCUAUUUUUUUGACAGGCUUUGUGAAUUUCUCCAUAUCCCCCCUAUUCCUUCUAGGUCAAAAUAAAUAAACAGAUAAGCUGCUUUCCUGUCUAGUUUGCUUGCCAUAGGCCACCGCAGUACUGAAAGUUUAAAACAUGUUUUUUGGGGAUUUUUUCUUUGUUAAAGCAUUGCACAACUCUCAUGGAGAGUUGCAUGAUAUUUGGUGUUGGUUUUGGUUAUUGCUGCUGCGUGUGGUUUGUUCCAGUGUGGACUGUAUCAUAGUCAUUGUGUCUACAGACUCUGCACUGAUGUCAACUGUAGUUUCCUCCUGAUUAAGAUUUAAAAUCAACAUAAAACCCUAAGCCUAUGCUAGUCCCUUGUAGUCAGUAGCUGAAUGUUGAGUCGGCCCUUACAGAAAUCUCAUUGAUUCAAUAGGUCUGUUCCAGUUGAUCUUCUAAUAUGAUUCAGGCCACAGUUUCAAACCUUGGUUAGCCAGGUUGUACGUCAGAAAGGAACUUGUUUGAUCAGAGUGCUACAUGCUUUAAAGAAGAGAAAAGAAAUUGGGGAACUGCAUGCAAAUUUAAAAGUUCAAUUUCUGGUGCUUUUGCAGGCAAUGAUAGGAGAUUAUGGUUCUCUCAAAUAAAAUUUAGUAUUUGAUUCA